GCGCACGACGCAUGCGUCUUUCCUCCGCCCUGCUAAAGUCCGGAAGGGCCACUGCUAUGAUUGUGCACCCUCCAGGUUAUGUUACCUUGAUCUCUCUCAAGUCUUGAAGCUCAGCACUUAGGCGGACUGCUUUCCUCAAAUUUGCAAGAAAGAAAAGCAAGAACCUCCCUUUUCCAAAUAUUGGGAAGAGAUUCUUGUUAAUAUGACCUGGAUUAAUAUCCACGGUCUUCAUGACAAAGAGUGGUUUCAUUAUGACUGGCUCUGCUUGCAUUUCCUGCCCAUUCCCAGCUUUGCUUAUAAAAGAAAUAAAUGGCUCCUACCCUCAAGAAGCUUACCAUUUAGAAGAAUAGACAAGCAAAUGUGUGUACAACAAGUAAAAUGAUGUUCAAGAUAUAUGAUUGGGUGAGGAAGCAGCAAAAGGAAGACAAUACUUCACUGGAAACUAGGUGGGCAAGCUGGAUUUAAUCUGUUUGGUUUGAUAUAUUUAUACAAAUACAGAUUGUCAAUUGUACAAUCUGACAAAUACAAUUUGUCAAUACAGAUUGACAAAUAAAGAUUGUCAAAAUCUUAACA
rnacentral:lncRNA from 1 species